CCAGACCUAAAUCUAACAAAAAAAUAGUGGGUUAAGGUUGAGAUUUUUAACCCAUUUAUUUACAUGGCUGAUCCGAAUAGCCUGUUCAAUUAAAUGGAUUAGGACUCUCCAAUAAGUUCAGUUAUAUGCUGUAUCAUCUGAUGGUUCUUUCAUGUUAUUAACUAAAAGUAUGCUUCAAAUCUUCUACUCUUAUGUUUAAAAAUUUCUUUCAUAUGAUAGCUUGCUGAAGGGGCUGGAAGUGGAGAGGUGCCGGAAAAAAUUGCCAUUUAUCAGCAUGCUAACAAAGAGGUGAUUUAUCAAAUCUCAGUACAAAUUUUCUUGAGAAGUUUGAUGUUGUUAUAGUCAGCGGUUGCUCUCAGAGCACAAAGGUAGACUAUGUCUUUUUGGAGGCAAAGGUCGCUGCACAGAUGGAAGAGGUGGAGGCGAGGAACUCGACUACUACUUUAUUUCCCGACACCGGGAUCUAUUUUGCGUCCAUAUAUUUAUUUUAGGUAGUUUGUCUAACUAUAGACAUUUAGUGUCUAUAUUUUAUCGGCAUCUAGCUUAUUAGUUUCUAGAUUUGCUGAUAUAUAUUUUUGUAGAACCCGACUUCUACUUUAUUUCCCGACAUCGGGAUCUAUUUUGUGUACAUAAGUGUAAUCUAUUUCAUUUAAUUAUAUAAGUAUCUAUGCAAAUUAUAAUAUA